rnacentral:rRNA from 1 species
CACGUAGGGCGCAAGCGUUGUCCGGAAUUAUUGGGCGUAAAGAGCUCGUAGGCGGUCUGUUGCGUCCGCUGUGAAAACUCGGGGCUUAACCCCGAGCCUGCAGUGGAUACGGGCAGACUAGAGGUAGGUAGGGGAGAAUGGAAUUCCUGGUGUAGCGGUGAAAUGCGCAGAUAUCAGGAGGAACACCGAUGGCGAAGGCAGGUCUCUGGGCCACUACUGACGCUGAGAAGCGAAAGCGUGGGGAGCGAACAGG